GUUUCCCAACGGCUAGGAUAGCUAUCAGGCGAGGGUGCUGACGGGCUGCUACCGAGCUGCUGCGUGGCUGUCAUUGAAUGUUCCAUACAUGAGGUUCGGACAUACUUGACCCAAGUGCAGCUGGGAAUGCUGGAGCUACACAAGCAAUCCUGGUCAUGUGCUGUUCUUGCACUCAUGGGUAUGCUCUUUACCUAUGAGGAGAUGACAGACAGCAUAGUUUCAGCAUGUAGAUUAAAGGAGGAGAAUAAGGGAAGCAGUUGCUUGACCAAGACAAGGUGGAUGCCAUCAUUGAAUAUGCUAUGGGAAGAUUGCUAGGAGUGACCUCCGC